rnacentral:tRNA from 1 species
GACCACUGCUCAGUAGCAGAGCAUCUGUUUUGCAUGCAGAAGGUCCCAGAUUCAAUCUCUGGCAUCUCCA